CAGGGGCCCUUUAAUAACAGCUCCAUCCGCCUCCCUCCCUUCGCGCAGGAACAAACUCAACAGGGCCGUGACUGGGACUUCAGGCAGUUGAGAUCACAACCUGUCAUCGACACGACCCUGGGAGACCACCUGCUCCUGCGCGCACCGAGCCGGUCCACAGCAACAAGCUCCGUGCUGCUCCCCACUUCCAGCACUCACUGUGGACUGUUCAGAUGGUGUAUUGAUCCAGGGAGGCAGAAGCAGCGUAUAGUAAAGUGCAGCAGCCAAAAUAAGCAACACUACUCAUUUCAAAACACCUUCAAAGAAAAGCUCUCACAGGCAUUGAGGCGUUGCAUACACACAUUUUGGAGGCCAUCUUUCACCAGCGGCCGAGAGGACACUCCCCUGACGCAGUUUGGGGAUGGAGUGCCUUGCUCAGCACAUAUGGGGUCUCAGACGCUCCUGUGAAGCCAGAGUCUCUGCACGUCAUCGGCCCACUGCUUUCAGUUUGAGAUCCAACAGGACUGCUGGUUAGCCCCCCCUCCCACCCCACCAGGCUGGGGACAACGUCAACUAUGCAGUAAACCUGUGACACCACAACAAACAUGUGGCUGAAC